AUUUCUCUUCUUGGUGGAUUUGACCUAAGUUCCAGUUUUUGUGCCUUUUCCUUUGUGUUUCGGUUCCUUAUAUAGUCUGCACGAAGCCAAGUGAAGUUACCUUCUAUGGUUGACAUCCCUUUUUUGUUCACUGGAAGUUUUCUAGUUUUCCUGUGUUCUUUUGAUACAUAUAUACUUAUCUGAAAGGGGUUUCCGUUGGAGUCCUCUAGGUUAGACUUCACAAAGAAUUUUCUGAUUUAAGUGCUGUAGUGCAUUAGAAUAUUUUACUGAGAAGGAUUAUAAAGUGCUUACAGGUUUUUUGUUUUUAUAAAGAAAGAACAAAAGAUGAUAGAAGGAAGAGGGAUGGAGGGGUUAGAAUAUUAUCUUGCUGAGAUGCAGAGGAAGGGAGAGAGAGAAAAAUUGGUGGCUUCCACUGAUGGCGUUCUAGUUAAAUUCUGGACUAUUUGUACUAUUUCAGUACAUAGAAUAAUAGAACUCAUAAACAGAAAUUAUCAUCAUCACAACAUUGGAUAUUUUGUUAGGUUUUGUUUUGUUUGGAAGUAAGGAUGUUCCUCUACCCAGUGUGGUUUUGGUCCUGAUCAGGAAUUCAGGUUCUAAAUGGUUCAAUAAAGUGGCCAUGGCAGCAGAGCACAUGGAAACAAAUACUGGAUUCAGGGCCAGAGACCUAGACCAAGUCCUGGUUUUCCUAGUAACUAGCUGUGUGAUCUCUAGCAAGUUAUCUGUCUUCUCUGAGUCUGUUUUCUUACUAGUAUAAUGAGUGGAAAGGAUUAGAUAACCUACUGCUAAACUUUUCAUACAUUAUAGUUCUCAGUGUAAACACAUUUUCCCUCUUUCUUGUAAAAACUUGGAAAAUCUCAUUACUAAAAGAAAGUUAUCUGUGGUGAGGAAGACCAUCAGUAACUCCAGCCUUGCCCUAGUUAGAUCUUGGCAACUAAUACUUCCAAGUUCCCUGUAUACGUGCAUAUCAGCUAUUUUCCAGAGAACGGUAAAAUUCUGUAAUAAUGUCACCUCACAAUUGUGAUUAUAUCUGAAUCAGAUACCUUGUUUAGAGGUUAUCUAAACUCCUUUUCAGAAGAAAUACAGUAACAUGCCAUGCAGGUUUGUAGACUAGAAGCAAUAAGCUAUACCACAUAGCCUAGGUGUGUAGUAAGCUAUACCAUCUAGGUUUGUGUAAACACACUCUAGGAUACUUCAUGACAAAGUUGUCUAAUAAUGCAUUUCUCAGAACAUAACCCUGUCAUUAAGUGAAGUAUGAUUGUAAUUGCAUCACAUUGCACACACAAGUCUUUAUUUCACCCACUUUCAUUUAUGUCUGAGCUACAUUAACCAAAAAAUUGAAAGUUACAUUCCAAAGGCAGAGCAAAGACAACUUAGUAUCUCCCCACUUAUUCCUGUAAAAGAAAACGUUAUGAGUUUAUCUAUAGUUAGGCAAAUGUCUUUUCUUAUACUUUAAUAUCAUUCUCAUCACAGAUGAAGAAAACAAUACAAUAAGUUACACUACAAAUACUGAUUUUCUUAGAUCUUCAAAGCCUCCUCUUGUUUCUUUUCUCCUAAAGCAGAUAUAAGAACAAGGUUAGUGCCUGCCCUGGGUUUUUCUAAAAAGUGCAAAAGAAUAUAAAAUGAAAAAGUAAAAAUCUUCUCUUUAUUCCUAACCCCCAAUAAUAUUUAUCAGAGUUAACUACUAUUAAUAGUUUCUUGUGUAGCUUUCCAGAAUUUUCUAGGCAUAUGCAAGACCUACUUUUUUUUUCAUUAAUGAGAUUAUGCCAUGGAUGCUCAUAUGUAUCUUACCAUUUGUAAAAACAAUUCAUCUUGAAGAUAUUUCUAUGACAUCACGCAGGAAACAGGCUUAUCUGCUAAAGUUCUUAAAAAACUAAUGAGGCCGGGUGCAGUGGCUCACACCUGUAAUCCCAGCACUUUGGGAGACCAAGGAGGGCAGAUCACUUGAGGUCAGGCGUUCAAGACCAGCCUGAUCAACACGGCGAAACCCCACCUCCACUAAAAAUACAAAAAUUAGCCGGGCGUGGUGGCAUGUACCUGUAAUUCCAGCUACAUGGGAGGCUGAGGCAGGAGAAUCGCUUGAAUCCAGGAGGCAGGGGUUGCAGUGAGCCAAGAUCGUGCCACUGCACUGCAGCUUGUGGGACAUCACAAAAAACAAGACAAAACAAACACAUAAAUGAGAUAAUUCUGUAUCAUGAUCAACACCAGAUAUGGGGUGCAUUCUGCUCUCAAAAACAUUAGUUUCCUUCCUCCCUUUCUUUAACAGAAGAGUCACCUGGAUUUGUAUUGUGAUUCUGGAGGAUUCUAUCAUCCAUGGGUAGACACAGAUGUAGUAAGUCACAGAAUCACAGACUUUCUGAGGGGAUGGCUCUUAGAGAUUGCUUGGUUCAAGUGGCAGAGCCUGUACCAAGACCAAAUCUUUGCUUUCAAUUUGGUACUCCUUUAAUCCUUUUUGUUUCUAAUAUAAUUCUGACUUGUAUUUAUUGUUUAUCUUAAAAAUUAAAGUAUGAUAUGUAAUGGUGUUAGAUGAUAGUUAUAAAUCAGGUAGUAUAUACUGCUCAAAGAAGACAAGUUUUUAAUUUUCCUUUAGAGAAGAAAGUUUUAAAAGUAGCUAUGUCAUUUUGCAAUGUUUGAUAUCCUUGUGUUUUAUCUAGGGGGUCUGUAUCUCAAAGCCUUUAAAAUGCUGAUGGAAGGAGUGGAGAUCCAGCGUUCAGGGUAGAAAAGAGGAAAAUCCAUGGAACCAUAAUCUAUGGAUGGCUUUAGGAAUGGGAUUGACUGCAAAGGAGCACAAGGGAACUUCCUGGGGUGAUGGAAAUGUUUUGUCUUGAUUGUGGUAAUGAUUACAUGACUAUGUUUGUCAAAAUUCCAGAACUUUAUACCUAAAAGGGUGAAUUUUACUGCAUGUAAAUUAUACCUAAACACAUGACUUUUUAAAAAGGCCUGAAAUCUUAACUACUCAGCUAAAAAUAAAAUAAAAUAAAAUAAA
rnacentral:lncRNA from 1 species